UACGUAGGGUGCAAGCGCUAAUCGGAAUUACUGGGCGUAAAGCGUGCGCAGGCGGUGAUGUAAGACAGUUGUGAAAUCCCCGGGCUCAACCUGGGAACUGCAUCUGUGACUGCAUCGCUGGAGUGCGGCAGAGGGGGAUGGAAUUCCGCGUGUAGCAGUGAAAUGCGUAGAUAUGCGGAGGAACACCGAUGGCGAAGGCAAUCCCCUGGGCCCGCACUGACGCUCAUGCACGAAAGCGUGGGGAGCAAACAGG
rnacentral:rRNA from 1 species